AAACAGCACUUUAUGGGAUGGAUCACUUCCAUAAUAAUCCGAUUCCCUUUCUUAUUUAUGGAAAAUUCCGAGAAAUUUUUUCUACCCAUCUUCAACAUCUGUCCCACUCGCAUUCUCUUUUCUGAGUUUUUUCUCUGAAACCAAAAAAAAAAAAAAAAAACCUGCUACUUUAAUCUUUUCUGUUGCAGUAGUUGAGUUCUUGCUUGUGUAAAGCUUUGAGGGCGUUCUUUUUCCAUUUUUCUGAAGUGGGUCUCUUGGGAUCGCUGUCAAUGCCCUUUGUUUGUUGAAUUUCAGAGUUUGGAGACCUAGGGUUGCGUUUGGUUGUGACGAUUAAAGCUUAAAGGAUGAGGAGGAGGAGGAGGAGUAAGAUAAAGAAAGAAGAGAUUGCAGAAGACUACUGCUUUGUCUGCAAAGAUGGAGGUCUGCUUAUGGUCUGCGACUACAAGGAUUGUUUAAAAGCAUAUCAUCCUCAGUGUGUGGGAAAAGAGGACUCAUUUUUGGAGAGUGACGAAAGCUGGAGUUGCAGUUGGCAUUCUUGCUUCAAUUGUCAAAA